CAACCCGGUUCUGCUGGGAACCUGUAACCCUCACUUUAGCUAUCCUAUUGGGAAUAGGAGUUGCUGCAGGGGUGGGCACAGGAACCACUGCCCUGGUCCAUGGGACACAACAAAUGACCCAAUUAGAAGCAGCAAUAGACCAAAAUUUAAAGAUAUUAGAAACCUCCAUCACAGCUUUGCAGGAAUCUUUAACCUCUCUCUCUGAAGUUGUUUUACAGAACAGGCGAGGGUUGGACCUCCUCUUCAUGAGAGAAGAGGGCCUUUGUGCUGCAUUGAGGGAAGAAUGUUGUUUUUAUGCCGACCAUACUGGAGUUAUAAAAUGAU
rnacentral:lncRNA from 1 species